GUUGCAAACAUAAAUUAAUUAAUUGAAAAUUAAACAAAUGAAGAAGAAAAAUUGUGUACAAAUGUGGAACCUCGAACUGGAACCAUAUUUUUCCUAGACGAGAGAUUUAAAAAAAAAAUUGUUGUUCAAUGAAAAUCUAUCGAUCACGUAAAAUGUUGAAUGUUAAAGUUAUUUGUAGCCAAUUAUACAAGAAAUAGCAAAAUUUCAGCCACACAUCCUAAAUAUGAACGUAAAAAUUGUUUAGAAAUGACCGUUUGCACUUCAUUAAAUAUCUAUUAUCAAACUGCAAAUUAAGGUAGAUGUAUCGCAUAGAAGAUGUUUAGUAAUUACAUUUAUCCAAAUCGAUUAAAAUUCAUUGAAACCUAAAAUUCACAAACGCGGCAAGCAUAUCGCCAGUAUAAUAAUCGAGUCUAGUCCUUCUUUUGAUCUUAACAGAUUGAGCCAAUAGUAGGUUACAUUGGAUGUUGCGAAAGUAAUUCAUAACAUGAAGUAACAGUUUUGUGAGAAAACAAAGCUUCAGUCGCCUUCGGCUCGGAGAUACAAAUUCUAUGUCGACAAGACCUAAGAGUAAUUAUACCUAGAGAGGAAAUUUCGAACAAAAUUACGUAAAAUAUGUGGUCCCAACAUAAAAUACGAAAUGUUUAUUGGUAUCGAAAAAACGUCAAAGCAUACAUGUGUUGGUGUAAAAUUAUACGAAAUGUGUAUCUUAUACAAACUGAUGUUGGGACCACAUUUCGUCGUACAAAUUUCCUCUCUAGGUAUAAUUACUCUAAGGACAAGACUGCCUAAGAAAGUUGCUCAGAAACACACUAGCGAGUUUGCGAGUGACAUAAGGUUGCUUCCGAAUUAAUAAACAGCUUUCACAUCAACCAAUGUAUUCUGAUUUAUUGCCAGCCUUAUGUUAAUUAUCACAAAGGAAUUAUCGUAAAAUGAACCGAAAAUAUUCUUCAUGCAAUGGGCCAUUUACGCAGAUGGCGAACUGCUACGCAUUGGUCAACUUUUACACGAGGCCGGCAAUAAAAUCUUUUACUUCAUUAGUUCAAAAAUAUGUUUUGCCAUGAACGGACGAAUAGGCCAGAACACAUCGCAUAUUACUUGUUGUCGUCGCUGUCUAUAACAGAUGUCAAAGCUGUACCCUACAAUUUGUAAUGCUUUUUGCUCGAUCUAUAGUCAUCAGAGCAACUAUGUCGAUGUCGAUGAUUGUUCAAUUAGAUGUUCUUAAUCAAUAAGACUGGUGAUAAGGAGAUCACAUUAAUUGUGAAAAGGGAAAAUUUGAAAAGUUUUUUUUUCUCGAGUUCAACUUUAUGACAAAAAAUUGCAGUGUAACAAAAUCUCUUUCUGUUUGUUUUGUGACAAGUGUUGAUCGAGAGUCUGAGCGCAUAUCAGUCCCUCAUAAGACUACGUUUCCAAAUCUAUGCCAUAUCAUACCACUCUCGGUCUAUUUUAGAUUAUUUUAUUAUGAAGGAGUUCAAGAAGAAUAGGAAUUGAUAUUUAAAUACUCGCCAACCUUUGUUCCAAUCCCAACGACAAAAUAGUCUCAACUGGCAAAGUUUUAUAAUGAUUUCGAGGCAGCACUUACCAUCAAGGACAUCCUGUCGAACUAAGAUUCACUGUCCUACGAGAUUUAGUUGAUAAACUACUUAUUUUAGGAACCGAAAUUAAGGAUUCGUUCGGCUCGCUUUAUUGUUUUCAGAUUUUUACUUUUGAGAUAUCUUUAAAAUUAACAAUACAUGCAACGAAUUUGAUUUUGUUGGGAUAAUAAAUUUAACUUAUUAGCCUAGACGACAUUCAACUGAUGUUUUUAAAUUUUCAAUCGAUGGGGAGAGAUAACUUUAGACGGAAACAAUUCAAUUACAUUGUGUGGAGACAAUCAAGAUCAGUAUUUCUUCGCUCACUUGGCGCAAAGAAAAUCAGGUUUUAUUCAGAUGGUAGAUGUUGUUUGCAUCCGGGCACUAUUUUCACCCAAUUCUUGAAAUAACCCAUUGUUCAUUCAUUUUGUAUAAGGAAGAUUGAAGGGACAAAACACUCAAUUAUUAGGACAGUUUGCACAAGUUCGAAACACCCAAUUGUUACUCAAGUUUGUACCAGAAAGAUUCAAGUUGCGUUUGACGAAACAUCCAAUUGUAAGGUCAGUUUCUACAAUAAUUUUUGUAAGGCUCUAAAUAACGUUUUCAAGACAAUUUGCACCCGGGUGCAAAUAGUGUAAUAGGUUUUUUGCACCCUUAAUUUUUUUUACAUUUUUACAUAAAAUUUACUAAAAAUAGUCACUUCGAAUCCAUAUGAACAUUUAGUAAAAAUUAUUCAUCCGGUCAUCUAACCAUUGCGGGCGAAGCUUGGCAAUAAAACUAUUUUUCCGAUGAAAUUAGAUUAUAUUAGUACGAUAAAUUGCUACAAUUCAUUGAUGGACACGCUGCCGUACAUACAGUCUUGUUCCUAAUUUGUGAAGUUUUGUAUAAUAUAUAUUGUCAACGUCAGCCUCGUCUGGGGUUGACAAAAUUUUUACAUCUUUUGGGAAAUUUUCAGUUAGAGUAUCUUAGCUACAAUUGUUAUCAUCUCCAUCGAUUAAAAAGAAAAAAACUAACCGAAACGUCUUGCCUAAUUAGUUGUGUCGAAGAUCAGCAGCACAAAGUCAGUGAGAAGAUAAAUCAUAAAGAACUUAGGAUAAAAAUGAAUACGAAAAAAAUAAUUGUAUCAAAGACCAAAUGUGAAAAUUUUAAAAACCUCAAAAUAAAAAGUAAAAAAAAACAAAAUUGAGAUACUUUUUCGGCAACUUACUUAUCCUUUGACCUCCAGCAAAUUCAAUUAAUAAUUAAAUAGUAGAAGGAAUAAAACAAAAGAGUUAUUAUAAAAAUGAAAACAACGUUUGUACAUUGCUAAAUUAAUUCAGAUUAGUAAGUCUUAUAUUAUAUACCAAUAUACCAUAUAAAUGAAACGUGCUACGUAUUAUAUACACAUUAUGCAUAAUUUAUAUUAUAUAAAAAUAAAUAAAUAAAAAUGAAUAAAAGAAAAGUGUAAUUUAAAAUAAAGAAAUAACCAAGCAACAAUAUCUAAAUUAAUGAACAAAAAGAAAAGAAAAGAAAUUUUAGUGAAUAAAAAGGUUUAUAUAUUAUUGUAACUUGUCAAUUAAAAAUGUAGACUGGCAUUUUCCAAUCAUGUUAUUUGCAUUUAACUCAUUAUAUUAUGGAAAACCAAAAAAAAAGUGAAAAAUUAUUAUGUAUUAGGCUUAGACUAAAUGAACAUCUCUCGGUUUUAUUUUUACAAAAUUAUUUUCCAUUUUCGAACUGUCGCUUUUCAUUUUCUCCAAUUUCAAUAAAUCUUUUAGAAACGGCCAGCGUAUCACGAUGUCAUGAUUAAAUCUGUUACUUCUGUUUAAAUAAAUGAAGCAAUGUACCGUAAUGCACACAAAAAAUUCAUUAUAGUUUCAAAUAGAGGGGCUACAGGGGAAUUAAAAAUUGAAUCUGAUCCCUCAACUAACAAAAAAGGGGUGAAAUUCCAUAACCCCUGUGAAACAUUUCCUCACUUAAUGUUUAACGAAUUAUAAUUUCGAAACAACUAUUCGCCCACGCGUUCGAAUAACAUUUUGUAAACUAUUCGCCCGCACGGGGAUUUUAGACUAUUUGCCAGCAAAUUGACUUUUUUAUAGAACAAACAAAUGAAAAAUCAUGUCGGAUUAAAUUCAGAACUUGUCUUGUCAGGGAAGGGACUCCUAAUGUCAAAAGUAAAUAAACUCAUAACGUCAAAAGAAGCGAGCUACCAUAACUAGUAGAUAUUCCUCGUACGAAUAGGAACGAUGAGAAUUCCCCCCUGAAAGACAUUGUAUCUUCUUUGUACGAAAGGGAACGGAAUGGCUUUACCUAGAAAAAGGAAUUGCAAAUUACUUACAUGAAAACGAAUUUAGUACUGGAACGGCAUUGUAUUUUCCUUCUACAAAGGAUACAAAUUUUGCUAGAAUUUAAUUUGAUAUUCCUCGUACGAAUAGGAACGAAAGGAAUUCAUCCUUCAAAAGGUAUGGCAUUUUUCAAUAAUAGCAUUUUAUUACCACUCGCGGUGGAAUAGUGUAUAAGAUGCUAUUCGCACGAGCGGGCAAUUAGUCUAUAAAAUGAUAUUCACCAGCGCGGGCAAUUAGCAACGGCCUUAAAAUGUUGUGCUUCAAAUUGGAUCGUAUUUUCAAGCCUCAUAUCUAAGCUUUUUAAUCAAGCCACACGUGACACACUCAACAUAUUUCAUUUGAGGAAAAUCGGGAAAAUCGGUUGUGUCAUGUAGUGGUCCACUUACUCGAAUCGUAACGAAACCGCGCAAUUUUUGAACAUGAAAUUGUCACUUUUUAUUUGCUGUUAUCUGUUGAUAAGCAUUUAAUACUUCAAGAUACUUUUCAGAUUCUCACUUUUCCAAUAUUUUCUCUCACUCUUUCAUCGAUUAUUCCAUGUCUUGAAUAUGAUUUCUAAAUGAUAAAAUAGUGAGAGAAAAUACUGGAAAAGUGAUAACAGAUGCCUAGCCGUUUCUGAAAGGUUAAAAUAUCCGUCUUUUCUUCAUCAAUCAAUUUUACCAAUUUUGUUUUAUCGAAACUAUUCGAAAAUGAAAUUAAAUAAUAAAUUGGAGCCAGAAUCAACGCACUGUGCGUUAAGCAGAUUCACUUGGUUGUAAAUAUAAAGAAUAAACUUUUCAUCGAUGCAUCGAGACAUUAAUUUUUAAGAGUUAUCAAAUACAUGAAAUGAAUAUAAUCGUGUAAAGUCAAUGUAGAAAAUAGAUCAAUAUGUUUGUCCGAAAGUAUUCCUCUAGUUGGGUUUCAUAUUUUAAAAUAGACAAACUCUCGGAACGGGUGAGGUUUACCUGAACCUGAUCUGAAAAUACAAAAAAAAAAUUUCUGACGUGAACCUCCUGACAUGAUUAAUUUUAACCUGACCUGAAUUGACAGGUCAAAAAUGACCUGAAACCUUACAGGUGUCCUGAAAAUUUUGUUUAGACAUUUCAUGUUCUUAUACAAAACCGGACUGUUAACUGUACAUUUGACAGGCAAUUGGAUCAUAUUACCCAAAAAGACCACAAAAGUAAGUGACUAAACUUUACUGAGACUCUAGGAUGUCUGUUCGAUAUUAAUAUUCAUUUCAAAUGAAACUGCAGGAAUAUUUUGGACAAAUCUGAUGGAAAAGCAACAACAAUGAAGACAUUUUUUAUCAGAAAAUCUGACAUUUACCAAACUGUUUGCUUAAUUAGCCCAAACUAAUUAAAAAUAAAAUUGAUUGUUUAAUAGAUAAACGUUCAAUUAGGUAAAAAAACAGAACUACGUGAAAUCGUCAAACAUUAUUUAUUAUACGAAGCUAAAAUCUAAACUACCCGACGAUAAUAUCCCCUAAAUCAUUUACAACAUUUCUGACUAAAUUUUUUCCAAUUUUUUACAUUUAAAUAUAUUUCAUCUUUACAAAUGAAAUAAUAAAAAAUUAUUGAUGAGACAGCGCAGGGUGUUAAGAAAUUUAAAAGAAUACCGACAAAAUUGCUUUCCUUUUCCAAAAUUAAGUAAAAAAAAAAAACCAAAAGCUUUUCCUUAAUAAAUAGCUUAACGGAAAGAGAGUAUCAUUUUGAAUCAAGGUGCUCCAAAUUAUAUACAAAGAAAAUUGCAUCCUAAACAAUGAGAAAAUAUCUUUUUAUACAUCGUUUUGAUAAUGAAGAUCGUGCGCAUAACGAAAACAAUUAAUUUAUUGUGUUAUGCGAUAUUUCCGAUUGAGAGGUUGAAUUGAUUUUUAAGGAACCAAAAAAAAAAUUAAAAACAAGAAAAAAAUUGAGGAAAAAAACCUGAACCCAACUAAAACCUAAAAUUAUAAAAUAUAAAAACCUCUAUAACAUCUCUGCACUAAAAUAAUAAAAUAUUUGAUUGCUGUCGUAUGUUUGUACGUUAGGCUUCGAAAUCACAUUUAAAUUGUAGAACCAAAUUCGUUCAAUGGAAAAAGACAUCAACUAAAGAAAUUUGUUAAAUGUAACUUACCAUUAAAUACUCAUUACAAUACAUAUAAUAAUGACUACCACAGUGUGAAGAAUAUUAUCAAGAAAACAAAACCAAAUCAAGAGUAAACCAUUGAAACAGAAAUCGUAGUCAUAUAGUGAAAAUGUUUAUGUAUUCUUGUAGUCACCAGAAUAAAUAAAUAAACAAAAUGUUAUUUAAA